GGAGGGAAGGAAGGAAGGAAGGAAGGAAGGAAGGAAGGAAGGAAGGAAGCUUUGACAUACUCUUUCUGAGUGGAAUGUCUUGCCUUUCUCUGGGCCCUAGGAUACAAAGUUCCCAUCCUACAUUUUCCAUCUUUAAGCCUGCCAAAAUUAAAUUGUUUAAGAAUACCAUACAGAUUUAAGGAAAAACUACAUCCCCAAAUUUUCAAGGAAUCCAAAGACCUAUUCAUCUCCAAUCAACAUUUCUUAGGAUCAUCAAAGUACACCAUUUCGUUUUUCAUUUUCCAGAUUAUUUUCUGUGAACCAUCUCUUUUUAUCUUCUCAUUAUUCCUUUGAGGGAUGUAAUACUUGACACAUAUAUAGGACUUUCUAAAUCACAAAGUAUUUCAUAUACAAUAUCUUAUUUAGAUCUUGAAAAUCACUUUUUAAGAUACUUUGGGAAGUUAUUGGCAUCCCCAUUUUACUGAAGAGGAAGCUGAAAUACACAGAGUUUGUCUCUUGCCCAAGAUUCUGCCCAUGUUUUCAGGAGGCAAAAGAACCAGGAUUAAGAAAAUGGCUCUGCUAGUAGACGUCCAGGUGAGAAUCCUAGCUCUGCCACUGAUUAGCUCUGUGUCUGUAGGUAAAUUAUUUAAAAUCUUCAUGCCUCAGUUUCCUCAUCUAUUAAAUUGGAAUAAUAAUGGUACUUUCAUCACAGAAACUGGAUGGGGGAAGGGACUAAAUGAGUUAAUGCAUUUAGAUGCUUAGAAGAACUUCUAGCACACAAAGCAUCUUAAUUGUUUGUCAUCAUUGGCAAAACCAAGACUAGAACUUGGGUCUUCCAACUUUUAGCUCAGUGAUGUUUCUGCUGCCCUACACCAAUAUUAUCCUUAUUAUACAGAAGAAAACCUAAAGCUGACAACGUUUAAGUGCAAAUCUCAUCCAGAGCCUCUCUUAAACAGAGAGGUCUAGAACUAAUGUCUCCUGGACUCUGUUUAGUCCUUCCACCAUUAAACCACGCUGCCCUCCACUGCUCUUAACUUUUUAAAAGUUAUAAACCAAUCACUCUCAUGCAAUACUACUGACAGCCUGAAGGCAGACUCUCCCACUCCUCCGGGGAAAGGAUCUUCUACCUUCAGUCCUAAGAGAUCAAAGGGUUUCGGAAUGCUCACUACAAUGGGAGCAUGCUCACUACUACCUCUAGGCCUUUUCUGGGAUAGUCUCUCUUCUUUCCCUUCCAACUGUAGUUAUCAUCAGCACCAGAUGAUUCAAUAUUUGACCAUUUUUGGCUUUCUGAGAACAAGUAUUGUUUUUUCAUAUUUUCAUUAUAUACUCCUUGAGAGUGCAGACUAUGUUGUGUGCAGGCUUGUAUUCUCUGUUGCACAUGGCAAAAUGCUCAGUCAAUAGCAGGUACAUAAACAGAUCUUGAUUCGUGAAUUGAUUGUUUGAUGGACUGAUAGUGUACCCUUCCAGUGGUUGGCAAUUGUCCUAACCUCUUUGUUGCAAAUUGAGGAUGAUCAGAGAAUUGCCUGGAUGGCAUUUAAUACCACAGUGACUGAGCAAGGGUUUUCUGUGGAGGGAGGAGCAGGGGCUGGGGAGGGGAGAGAGUUCCCCUUUGCUCUCACCUGGGCUGGCUUCCACAAAGCCUCAGAACCAGGCCCAUGCCACUGUCUGACUGCACAUUUUGUAUAUGGAAGACACAGACCUGAACCAGGGCUUGCCCUCUUGUCCACAGUCUGGACCCCUCAUAGCACACCCAGACCAGACGUGACCUUGCUCUACAGUUAAAAACAAGUGAAAGUCAUCUGCCAGGGUCACUUGGCACCAAAGUCCUGUGACAGAAGGGGCUCCACUUAAAGGGCAGCACAAAUCCAGGGCAUUAAAAUAACCUGAAUGGUGUCAUUUUCUGAUCAAAUGCCUUUCCCUGUCGGGUUUGUGAUUUUUGAGCCUGAGAAUGUCCCCUCAAGGCUCAGGUUUCUCUGCUGUCACACUGGUCUCAGGCCUGGAAUGUGAGUACUCGCCGUGGAGGUCUGAUGUAGCUAUGUCACAAUCCCAAAAUGGAGAGACAUUAUCUCAUAGACAGUGGCAGCAGGCAGGCACCAGUUUGCUGCUGGCAGGCAUGGUCAGAAUCUGGCCCCGUGAGUAUUUCUCACCCACGGUUCUCAGUGGACACACAAUUUGAGGUCCAAGAUGCCAAUCUAUGCACUAGUAAAUUAGGGUCUUGCAAAGCUUCUCAUCCAGGAGUAAACCCAGGAAAACAUAAGCUGAGGUACAGAGAGGCUCAUUUUUGUUAUAAGUCCUGUUGGUUUGCAGGAGGGUGAUCCCUGGUGGAGAGGCCCUGGAGUACCUGAAAGGCUUGGUCAGAAUGCAGAGAGCAGCAAUUCGCUAGGUGAAAGGGUACUCAAGGUAGGGCUAAACUGCCAUCCUUACUUUCCUGGGCCUGCGAGGGCAGGAUUGCUGACCACAGGGCAGGUGGGGCCUGGUGGCCUAUGAGGCAACCAUCCCUUUCAGCACUUGGAGAGGAUGAGGCCCCAAGGGGAAACCAUUUCCCCUCUCAUAGAGUAAUAAAGGCCAUCAGAGUCAUAACUACUUUGAUCGUGAACUAUCUUUAGGGAUGAAGAGAAACACCUUCCCACCCAGAAAGGGGGGUCCUUUUCUCAUUGGUAGCCUGUUCACCCACUUACUUCCUAUGGCUCUGCUCUGCGACUUUUGUUACAACCAAGCCAUUUUCCAAACAAGCCCUGCAUGCUCCUGCCUCCUCCUGUCGCUCAUUCCUUCCUGGACUAAAGAGUCUUCCUCUUCUUAGUCCACCUUUUCUUCCAGGUGCACACUUGAUUGAUUCCUCCUGCUGAGUGAGGCGUCUGAGUGCUGCAGCCUCCAGUCUCUGGGGCUCCUUCAGAACCAGUGUCUAUUCCUUUCACGCGACCCUUGGCACACACCAGCUUCCCAGUCCCUUACCAUCAUGCACGAGGGUUAGAGCAUGUUUGUUGGAAGGCCCUUCAGCACAGAGGCUGUGUUUUAUCUCUCAGAAUUUCCCAUGCCUAGCAGAGGGCUCACAGCAUUGACUCUUAAGAAUGUAUGACCUCUCCAAUGGCUUCCCAUCACACUUAGCAACAAAACCUAAGAUAGAAGCCAGCAAUAUAGCCUCAUGUCCUAAUUUCCCCAUUUCUUUACCUUCCUCCAACACACUGGGCAUGCUAGCAUCAGGCCUUUGCACUUGCUCUUCCUUCUGCCUGGCAUAUCUUUCCCUGGACCUCCAGGUGGCCACCUCUCUCACUCCAUUGUCUCUGUCCAAAGGCCACUUUCUCAGAGAGGACUUUCCUGGCCACCAUGUCUAAAAGAUAGCACUCCUCAUCCCAUAUGCCUUGUCUUGCCUUAUUCUUCAUCACAGCACCUAAUUACUGACUGACAUCAUAUUAGUAUAGUAUAGUAUAGUAUAGAAUAGUACAUUACACUAUGUAUUUUUUUUAUUGUAUGGUCCCCAUAAGAAUGCAAGUUCCAUGAGGGCCAAGACCUGACUUUAUUCACAGCUUGUUCUCAGUACCUAUGGUGGUAUCAGGAAUAUUGUAGGUAUUCAAUACUUGUUGACCAAAUGGAUGGGAAAAUGAAUGAGCAAACAUUUCCCUGAGAAGUGGGGACCAUUCUGGACAAUGAUGUGACAUGUGGUCUGCUGUGGGAUAACAUAAGGCUUCCUUUCAAAGAACCAAAAAGCAUCAGAACUAUAAAGGUACUUCAAAGGAGGUCAACUCUCAACUGUACAGAGUAAGAAACUGAGUCCCAGGGAGGGAAACAUAAAUGGCAUAAGCACUGGAAAAGUUAAAAUCUUUGACUUCUAAUUGUUAACUCUUCCUAGAAUGUGGCCUGAUGUGACAACUCUUCUGAACGAAUUCUGAGUUACCAAUUUUCUACUGGUUUUGCACUUGAAUAAUUUUUAUAGAAUCAAAACAGUCAAGAGAAUAAGACAAGUCGCAUAAAAGUUUACCUCUUCAUGCUUCCGAGUGUUUUUAGAGGCAUUACUGCAAAGGAAGCAUCAACACUGAUUUUGUCCAGUGUCCCUUCUGCAGUAGCCCAGUAGCCCAGAUCUGGACAAAUAUUGAAUGCUGUACAUUGUUGCUUUAUUCUUCCCAACCUUUGUGUGUUAGGCAGGACACUGCAGGACAUAUUCUUUUGGAAUAAAGAAGAAAUCUAAGCAUUUGCCCAAAGCUAAGCUGCAGCUGAGUUCCAGGUCUUCAUCUGGCCUUCUCCUUCAGGCACCUGAGUAAUGCUGGUUCUAGGUCAUUGAAAAUGGACUGGAACUACUCACUGCCACUGGUGGGUGGUUCAGCUGACCAUGAGUGUCAGUAUUCAUCAGACCACAGCCAUUCUAGGUUUUCCUUUUCCUUUUUCUUUUCUAAUUCCCCGGAGGGUUCUGAGAAAAUCCCAUCCAGAUCUCCUCUCCCAGGUGGCCCUCGAGGGUGGCUGCCACCUUGCUCUUCUUGUAAGAUUAUGUUUGACAGCAAUGAAAACCAACAGUUCAACAGCAAUAAUUUCUUGGCAGGACAGAUUGGCAUGAGACUUAUCCCAAAACAAAAUAAGCCUUUCAAGGAAGUGUAUUUCAAGUUGGGCUCACGUUCCCAAGACACUGAGAUUCUUACAUGGCUGACACAGGAGCUGAAGCUGAGCUCCAGCCAGGGCCGUCAAUGAUUGUCAAUAACACGACAGAACAGAGAGAAGACUCAGGGGCUGAGUAUGUUCCUGAACAGUUCAAACAGGGGUAACUGGAAAUGCUGCGGAACUCGUUCUCAGAAAAAGUUUUUUGCACUCUGGCCAGAUUUUCUUAAAUGGCCUUGUUAGUGAUUUCAGUCUUGGAGGAGGGUGUGUGGGUCAGAGUAGCAUCCACUUGCCUUCCUUCCACUUCUUUUCACUACCCAUUCCUUCCCAUCAUUCUCCACAAUUCUUUCCAUGCCACCUACCACCAUUUUCACUGCUGUAUGUGCCACUUAGAAGAGCUCUCUAGACAUUGUGCCACUUAGAGGAGCUCUCUAGACAUUAUGCCACAAGGGAGCCUGUCAUGUCACCUAUGAAUGGCAACUUAUAUGCCUCUGGUUGUCUGCAUCCUAAGUUGUUCUAAGCCUUCCUCUCUAGGCUUGGUUACAAUGCACAAGUUCACAGAAUAAUUCAAACAUCAAAGGUGGAAGUGACCUGGGGAUAACCAGCAUGACCUGGGGAUAACAAAGUUGCUUUUGCGCUGCAUCCUCUCAAAGCCCACAAGAGGACGCCCAAGACCUCUCAAAUCCAGUUACAAGUGGCAGUGAGGCCAGGAGGUGGCGCUGUUGCCUUAACCAUCAAGAAGGAAGCGGUUCCGGUUUAGUCGGGGCUGUGAAUGUCCUGGUUGGGGGACACAUAGCACCCCUGCCGACUGCGAGUAAUCCCUAUGUGGGAUGCUAGGCUGUCCCAGCCAAACAUUGCUACCCGACCCUGAGAGGUAAAGCCAAGCUCUAGCCAGCCUGAUUCAAUGGAAAAACUAGGUGAGAAACCAGAAUUCAUGGGUUCUAGUUCCAGCUGCCAUGCUAUUUUGCUGGGAGGGCUUGAAGGAAAUCACUUACUCUUUUUGCCCCAAAGGCUUCCUCGACGUUCCAUGUGUUCUAACAACAUAACUUAAGAUUCAGGAGUGCCAAGUGGGCAUAGGAUUCAGGAAUAAGAAAGACAAAACUCAUGUCCUGAACAAAUUCAUUGUCUGCAGGUUGGGGAAGGGUAUAGGGAAGGACACAUAAUCAGAAAGUCACAGGUUGAGGAGGGAAGUGGAGGUCUGGAGGUGCACACAGAUGCACAUGCGGGGAGGACUUCACCAGCCUGAUGGAUCGGUGAAGGAUUCCUGGUGAUUCUAGACAGUAUCAGAGCUGAAUAGGAGUCAUGUUGGUAAAGAUUUGGACGGGCAGAGGGGCAGCCAGGGCAAAGGCAGUGAGGCAGAAAAUAGCCUAGUGGGUGAGUGGGGCUCUUGUGUAAGUGAGUAGUGUUAGGAAGUGGAGCUGGAUGAAGACACAGACACCAGGCAGGUGGGGCUUGCAGAUCCUGUCCAAAUGUCCCUUUAUAGGCUUUGUGGUCAAAAUGCUCUGAAAAGGGAGCAUUGCAAAGACCAAUGGUGUCACUAAUACAUGUAUUUAUUACAGGUGCAUAAAUCUGUGCUCAUUUGGAGAUAAAGAAGAUAAAGAACUACCAAGGGGGAAGGAGGGCUAGGGGAGACACAGGACCAAUAUCCACCUUCUGCUGUGUUUUAGCUUGACCUGAAGUCACCAUUAGCCACCAUUGUUCUCUCUCUUUCCUCCCUGACCAAGAAGUAAAAUAAACUCAUUAGGACAUGGACUUGUUAAGAUCUAAAAUUGAAGAACAGCCAUAUAUUUAUUUAACAAGACAAAUAUAUACAUUAUUUAUGCAAGAUAAUAAGUCACCAAGGUACAAAAGUACAUAUUUUCAUUUAUUUAUCAAAACAAAGGUAUGCGUUCAUGUUUUACAGAUGAGAAAUAGGAGACCCAGGCCACAUGACCCAAAAACGGUGGUGCCGGCACUCUAUCUGGGCUUUCUGAUCAUACUACAUGCUCUCCACUUUUCACCAGCAUGAUUUACUCUGAGCGCUUUGAGGAUUGACCUCCUGGCUGGGGAAGGCAAGCCCAGCAUCACUGGUACCCAGUUCAUGCAUUCACUCUGUGAUCCAGAGGGCCUAUAAAACAGGGGUUCUCACACAGGCUGCUGCAUUCACAGAAAGAGAUGUUGGAUCUCUGGUUUUAGUAUUUACUCUAAAACCCCCUGUUCUUCUCAAAUGAGCACUAAUUGGUCACCAGCACUGAAGGAGCAUGCAGUACGCCAUGAGUUCUAGAGAAUAAGAGAGACUUUCAAAUGCACUGCUGUACAAGCAUUAUGGCUGGGUACAGGCAGUUAGGCUGGCUGUGCAGUGCUUUGUUGGUAUCUGGGACGAUGUUGCAGGGAGGGCCAUCCAUGAGUGUCUGUGACUUGAUGUACCCUUAUUUAAAAUGGCAUUUUCCCCAGAUGCUUAGUCUCCAAACAGAAAACAGCCUGAAAUCUCAUUUUUUCAAAGUUUCUGCUACAAAAAUUGUUGCCAGUAUACUUGAAAUUUAUGGAAAGAAUGUUUUUAAUCAACUAAGUGUACUGAAGUAUGUAAAGUUCCGGGAAGGAAUACAGCCCACCAGUGAGGCAGAGAGAAGUGGAAGUCUAGCAACAACAAAUGAAGGACCCCAGGCUCAGCAACACUGGAAAGAAGUUACAUCCAGUAAGAGGACUGUGAUGGGGGCAGGACUGUAAAAAACAAAACAAAACUAAACUAAACUAAACAAAACAGCAAACAAUCUGUGAGAAUGGAACAAAUGACAUGCAAAAUAGUCCAAAGAAUAACAUGUAAAUUAGCAUCAGAUUUCCAAAGAAUCUUAGAGUUGAGAGCCUAGAGAGACCAUCUCUCCAGAUAAUGCUACUGAACCCCCACGGAAGGGAAGCAACUUGCCCUAAUAGAAACAGCUAACUUCAAAGAGGGCUCUCCGGGAGUGAGGCCCUGAUUUCAAUGCUCCAUGUGAAUUAACCCAUUUAAUUGUCCCAGAAAGGGCAUGAAGCGUGAGGCUUCCCCCAUAUUGGCAGAUGGGGCAACGGAUGCUUAGGGAGGUUAAGGUACUUGCCCAGCUCAUCUCAUUAGUAAGAGGCAAAGCGGGGACCAAACCGGGGCAGUCUAGCUCCCAGCCCAUCUUCACAAGCAUAUUGCUCCUGGAACCAUUGCAAACCAGCAGCAGAGCCAAGACUAAAGCCCUGGUGCCCCAGUUCCCUAUUCCUGUUCUUUCCACCAUUCUGCUCUCCCCUUGGGCCCAGAAGGUUCUCCUCUCAGAGCCAUGGCGCUUGCUGGUCCCAGCAUCCUUGUCCGGAAUGCUCUUCUCCUACAUCUCCACAGAGUCUGCUCCCUGGAUUCCUUUUCUGUCCACCCCAAAUAAAAUGGCAACACCUCCACUGUCCAUAGCACUGGAACGUCAGAUACCCCUUACUUCAUUCAUAGAUGAAACACCUCACCAUCUACUUGCUGUAUAUUUACUCAUUUUUAUUGUUGUAGCUCAGUGUUUCCUACCAAAUGGAAGCUUGUGAAGGUAGCAUCCAUGCUUUCUUCAAUAACAUGUCCCUGGUGCCUGGCGCCUCGAAGCAGGCAAAAAUGAAAAAAUAAAUGAAUAAAAUGAACAAAUGAACAAAUGGUAAGUAAUUCCCAGGCCUGAAGCAAAGAACUCAGGUGCCCUGUGCCACACGGCAAAUGUCACCCCUGGCUGCUUUACUCACAUGCUACCCAGGAAACCUGACUCCUUCUACCGUGAGUUCCUGGCAAGAUUCAUUUCUUGAAUUGUAAUAUCAUGUCUCUAAGAGUCUUCUGUUAAACUGUAAGUACUUCUGGGGCACCUGGGUGGCUUAGGCAGUUAAGCAUCCGACUUCAGCUCAGGUCAUGAUCUCACAGUUCGUGAGUUCAAGCCCUGUGUCAGGCUCUGUGCUGACAGCUCAGAGCCUGGAGCCUGCUUUGGAUUCUGUGUCUCCCUCUCUCUCUGCCCCUCCCCUGCUCACUUCUGUCUGUGUCUCAAAAAUAUAUAAACAUUAAAAAACAUUUUUUUAAACUGUAGGUACUUCUGAAAGGGAGAACAUCAUACAUGAAUUACUUACUAGCCUUUAACAAUUUGGGAUAUACUAAAGUGAUACAUAAACAUCAUUUUAUAUAUAACAGAUCCAAACUAAAAUACAGCUCACAUGGUUGGAGCAUUCGGAACAUGCCGGUCAUAGUGCAAGGUACUUUACACAUGGUACUAAUUGCCAAAUAUUUCCGGCUCUCUGCCUUCCUGGCACUCGUGGGAAUAGCACUUCCCAAGUCUUUUGUGGUGGGUAGCACCAUGUGACUGGUUCCAAACAGACAUAAAUGGGCCUGUUACCCAUUUACAGGGCUAAUGAGAGACCCCUCAGAACUCUCUUUUCCUUUCGGCUCAGCUGCCUUCAAUAUGGGACCUGCCUUAGCCUGAAUCCCUGAGUGAUGUGAUGAACACAGGACCUGCCCACCCCCACCCCCAUCCCCAGUGUCUAUACAGCGAUCUUCUGGGGUAAUCUGUGCUAUCAUUUCUUUACAGGUAAAGAAGGGGCUGUGUGUUAUUAAAGGAUUUUCACAAGAUUUCAUGGCUGGCAAGUGAUGGAGCCACGAAGGGAACCAGAUUCAUUGGUGAGGAAGCCAGCACACGUACAGAGAUGUCUCACAGUGCCCCGGCCCUGUGCUGAGGGCACCCUGAUGACUCCAACACUCAAGCCCCUGUUUUCAAGGAUCUGCCAAUGCCCAGUCAAUCCCCCUCCCCUUCCGUUGUUCCUACAGGAAUGGUCACUACUGCUGAAGAUAAUUGCUCAACUGUUUGCGCUGAGAGUUAGGGAGGGUCAAAUCUCCACUGCUCCAUGUACUCUUUGUAUCCUUUAUACAAACUACAUGGAAGUGAUAGAAAAUUCUGAAGGUCUGGAUCACCUAAGAACAAAACUGGAAUGCUUGGGAGGCAGGAGCCUCCUGUACAAAAUUUUUCACCCACUGCUAGCGUGGUACCUAAAUUUUCUACCAUUAGAAAUUUAUUCCUUUGGGUUUAAAGCAGAUUUCUCCUCUUGCCUAGAACUUGCCCAGACUAUUGUAUAAAAUCUUCUUUUGUCAUACGUCCAAAUGACUACCCUAACAACUUCUAACAACUAUCUCAACAUUGAGAUCUUGUAGAAAUAGCCCAAGGAACCCGGGAACAUAAGGAAUGGCUGUACUUCCAGUGCUAAAUACUUCAAUUUUGAGGGUGAAAAUGUUCCUUAAGGCCUUCUCCUUUUAAUUUUCUUUUUCCCAAAAGAACUCAAGUAGAGGGUUUGUUGGUAUUGUUUGUUUGCCACUGGUGUUGACGAGGGGCAGAAUGCCAUCUUCUCAUGAGGACUAAAUUGAUGAGAAUUCUCAUUGUGCUGUACAGAACCCAAAUUACCCACACCACUAUCCAUCACAAACUCUGUGGAUUCCCGAAGUUUGGACUGAAAUUGUGCUCUGAGAAGUGUCUUUCUUUCUGGGAGUCAGGGGAUGGUGGAGGGAUGGGGACACCUUUACGGAGAGGGACAGCCAUGGACUAACGGAAAUGAGAAGAUGUGGAAAAUGUUGUAGCCUGGGAAGAGAGGAUUCUAGGAGGGUCAGGGGAAAUACGGCAUCAAAACUCAAAGGCACAGGCCUUAGGGAUAAAUAUCCAGAAACUCACUUAAAAAAACAAGGAGGUAUUAUGAUGACCCCAAGCAGAGAGGAAAGGCAACACAAGAAUGUAUUUGUAGACUUAACCAUGACAUAAAAUUAUAUGAUUUGAGGCCCAA